GAUGAACGCUGGCGGCGUGCCUAAUACAUGCAAGUCGAGCGAACGGACGCGAAGCUUGCUUCUCUGAUGUUAGCGGCGGACGGGAGAGUCACACGUGGAUACCCUCCCUAUCAGACUGGGAUCACUUCGGGACACCGGCGCUAAUACCGGAUAAUCUUUUGAACCGCAUGGUUCAAAAGUGAAAGACGGUCUUGCUGUCACUUCUAGCUGGAUCCCGGCUGCAUUAGCUAGUUGGUACGGUAAAGGCUUACUAAGGCAACGAUGCAUAGCCGACCGGAGAGGGUGAUCGGCGACACGGGAACGGAGACACGGUCCAGACUCCUACGGGAGGCAGCAGUAGGGAAUCGUACGCAAUGGGCGAAAGUCUGACGGAGCAGCGCCGCGUGAGUGAUGAAGGUCUUCGGAGCGGAAAACUCGGUUAUGAGGGAAGAACAGAUGUGGAAGGAACUGUGGACAGCGUGACGGUACCUAAUCAGAAAGCCACGGCUAACUACGUG
rnacentral:rRNA from 1 species